rnacentral:rRNA from 1 species
UACGUAGGGGGCAAGCGUUGUCCGGAAUCAUUGGGCGUAAAGCGCACGUAGGCGGCCCUGUAAGUCCGUUGUGAAAGUCAAAGGCUCAACCUUUGAAUGCCGAUGGAUACUGCAGGGCUAGAGUCCGGAAGAGGCGAGUGGAAUUCCUGGUGUAGCGGUGGAAUGCGCAGAUAUCAGGAAGAACACCCGUGGCGAAGGCGGCUCUCUGGGACGGUACUGACGCUGAGACGCGAAAGCGUGGGGAGCGAACAGG